rnacentral:rRNA from 1 species
UGGGGAAUAUUGCACAAUGGGCGCAAGCCUGAUGCAGCCAUGCCGCGUGUGUGAAGAAGGCCUUCGGGUUGUAAAGCACUUUCAGCGAGGAGGAAGGGUAGUGUGUUAAUAGCACAUUGCAUUGACGUUACUCGCAGAAGAAGCACCGGCUAACUCCGUGCCAGCAGCCGCGGUAAUACGGAGGGUGCAAGCGUUAAUCGCAAUUACUGGGCGUAAAGCGCACGCAGGCGGUUUGUUGAGUCAGAUGUGAAAUCCCCGCGCUUAACGUGGGAACUGCAUUUGAAACUGGCAAGCUAGAGUCUUGUAGAGGGGGGUAGAAUUCCAGGUGUAGCGGUGAAAUGCGUAGAGAUCUGGAGGAAUACCGGUGGCGAAGGCGGCCCCCUGGACAAAGACUGACGCUCAGGUGCGAAAGCGUGGGGAGCAAACA